GUGAACGCUAGCGGCAGGCUUAACACAUGCAAGUCGAGGGGUAUAGUUCUUCGGAACUAGAGACCGGCGCACGGGUGCGUAACGCGUAUGCAAUCUACCUUUUGCAGAGGGAUAGCCCAGAGAAAUUUGGAUUAAUACCUCAUAGUAUGUGAGAAUGGCAUCAUUUUCACAUUAAAGUCACAACGGCAAAAGAUGAGCAUGCGUCCCAUUAGCUAGUUGGUAAGGUAACGGCUUACCAAGGCAACGAUGGGUAGGGGUCCUGAGAGGGAGAUCCCCCACACUGGUACUGAGACACGGACCAGACUCCUACGGGAGGCAGCAGUGAGGAAUAUUGGACAAUGGGCGCAAGCCUGAUCCAGCCAUGCCGCGUGCAGGAUGACGGUCCUAUGGAUUGUAAACUGCUUUUGUACAGGAAGAAACACUGGUUCGUGAACCAGCUUGACGGUACUGUAAGAAUAAGG
rnacentral:rRNA from 1 species